UAGGGAAUAUUGGACAAUGGGUGAGAGCCUGAUCCAGCCAUGCCGCGUGCAGGAUGACGGUCCUAUGGAUUGUAAACUGCUUUUGUACAGGAAGAAACAGUUCUACGUGUAGAACCUUGGCGGUACUGUAAGAAUAAGGAUCGGCUAACUCCGUGCCAGCAGCCGCGGUAAUACGGAGGAUCCAAGCGUUAUCCGGAAUCAUUGGGCGUAAAGCGUCUGUAGGUGGCUUUUCAAGUCCGCCGUCAAAUCCCAGGGCUCAACCCUGGACAGGCGGUGGAAACUACCAAGCUGGAGUACGGUAGGGGCAGAGGGAAUUUCCGGUGGAGCGGUGAAAUGCGUAGAGAUUACAUGGAAUACCAAUUGCGAAGGCAGGUUACUACUAAUGGAUUGACGCUGAUGGACGAAAGCGUGGGUAGCGAACAGGAUUAGAUACCCAUGUAGUCCCUGAGCGGGCUGGCAAGGCGCAU
rnacentral:rRNA from 1 species